UGCGUUGUUCAUUUUAUAGUCAUGACGGACUCUGCUCCUCAUAUACGGAUUAACAAUCAACAUUUACCAAGUAUGUGUCAAACAUCAUUUAUCAUAAAAUGCACACAUAAUCCCUAAUGCAAUCUAAUGCUUCACAUUCAUGUUAUGUCCUCUAGACACCUCUAAUGCAUGUGGUAGCAUCGUCUUUAUUAGAGUAUCUCACCUCUAAUAU
rnacentral:lncRNA from 1 species